rnacentral:rRNA from 1 species
AUGCCUACGGGAGGCAGCAGUGAGGAAUAUUGGUCAAUGGACGCAAGUCUGAACCAGCCAUGCCGCGUGCAGGAUGACGGCUCUAUGAGUUGUAAACUGCUUUUGUACGAGGGUAAUAUCGGAUACGUGUAUCUGCUUGAAAGUAUCGUACGAAUAAGGAUCGGCUAACUCCGUGCCAGCAGCCGCGGUAAUACGGAGGAUGCGAGCGUUAUCCGGAUUUAUUGGGUUUAAAGGGUGCGCAGGCGGCGAGUUAAGUCAGCGGUAAAAUUUCGGGGCUCAACCCCGACGAGCCGUUGAAACUGGCU